rnacentral:rRNA from 1 species
GAUGAACGCUGGCGGCGUGCCUAAUACAUGCAAGUCGAGCGAACGGACGAGAAGCUUGCUUCUCUGAUGUUAGCGGCGGACGGGUGAGUAACACGUGGAUAACCUACCUAUAAGACUGGGAUAACUUCGGGAAACCGGAGCUAAUACCGGAUAAUAUAUUGAACCGCAUGGUUCAAAAGUGAAAGACGGUUUUGCUGUCACUUAUAGAUGGAUCCGCGCUGCAUUAGCUAGUUGGUAAGGUAACGGCUUACCAAGGCAACGAUGCAUAGCCGACCUGAGAGGGUGGUCGGCCACACUGGGACCUAGACCCCGUCCAGACCUCUACGGGAGGGCGCAGGAGGGAAAUCUUCGCAAAUGGGGGAAAGCCGACGGGGCAACGGCGGCGUGGGUGUUGAGGGCCUUCGGUCGGUAAAAUCCUUUAAUAAGGAAGAAAAAAAUGGUAAGGAACUGAGCACCUUUUGACGGUAACCAAAUAGAAAAGCACGGCCAACUUCGGGC